rnacentral:lncRNA from 1 species
ACUGGUUAGUCAUGAAAUCGGCAAAAUUCCAGAUGAGCUCUCCAACCACGUAUUUUCUGAGUUUUUGAUCCAGACCCAGAUGGUACUGCUCUAGCAGACUUUUCUGGUAGUCUUCACUGAACAUCAGAGGUGGCUGCCCCUUGGGAGUCCACUGUGACUGCAGUCCAGUGGGGUCAAUGUCCACACUGAUGCCGGAAAGAAGUCCUGGGAGAUGCGGAGGGCAUCCUGUAGCGGCAGGCAGUCUGGGUGGUCCACGGGUGUGAGCUUCAGCAGGUC